CCGUGCUAGAUGGGGAGUUAGCGGUGCCCUGUUACUUGCAAUCCGCUAUAGCAAGAUUGAUACUUAUGCUAGGAUUUUAUCGAUUGAUUGUCUUGUACUAUGCAGUGUUGAUAGUUUAGUCCUGUUGCAACAUUAAAUUAGUGAACUCCGUCAGGCCUGGAAGGGAGCAGCGGUAAACUUUCUUUUUUGUGUGCUUGCAGUUAAUUAGAUUUGAACUGAUAAGGUAAUAGAUAUUCAUUUAUGAGAUUUCCAAAUAUAACCGCAUGG
rnacentral:SRP_RNA from 1 species